GCUGUUGUAGCUCAGGGGUAGAGCACUUCAUUGGUAAUGAAGAGGCCGGGAGUUCGAAUCUCCCCAACAGCACCA
rnacentral:tRNA from 1 species